GACGAACGCUGGCGGCGUGCCUAAUCCAUGCAAGUAGAACGCAGUUGCGAACGGGUGAGUAACGCGUAGGUAACUGCCUCAUAGCGGGGGAUAACUAUGGGAAACGAUAGCUAAUACCGCAUACUGUGAGAUGGAACUGCGGCUUAUUAGCUAGUUGGUGAUGUAAAGGCUCACCAAGGCGACGAUACAUAGCCGACCUGAGAGGGGGAUUGGCCACACUGGGACUACGACACGGCUCCGCAUCCUACGGGAUGCAGCAGUAGGGAAUCUUCGGCCAUGGACCGAAGUCUGACCAAGCAACGCCGCGUGAGUGAAGAAGGUUUUCGGAUCGUAAAGCUCUGUUGUUAGAGAAGCGGUACCUAACCAGAAAGGGACGGCUAACUACGUGCCAGCAGCCGCGGUAAUUC
rnacentral:rRNA from 1 species